ACGGGAAGAGCCCAAACCAACAAGCUUGCUUGUUGGGGUUGUAGGACACUCUAUACGGAGUUACAAAGGACGACAUUAGACGAAUCAUCUGGAAAGAUGAAUCAAAGAAGGUAAUAAUCCUGUAGUCGAAAAUGUUGUCUCUCUUGAGUGGAUCCUGAGUACGACGGAGCACGUGAAAUUCCGUCGGAAUCUGGGAGGACCAUCUCCUAAGGCUAAAUACUCUCUAGUGACCGAUAGUGAACCAGUACCGUGAGGGAAAGGUGAAAAGCACCCCGGAAGGGGAGUGAAAUAGAACCUGAAACCGUGUGCUUACAAGUAGUCAGAGCCCGUUAAUGGGUGAUGGCGUGCCUUUUGUAGAAUGAACCGGCGAGUUACGAUUUGAUGCAAGGUUAAGCAGUAAAUGUGGAGCCGUAGCGAAAGCGAGUCUGAAUAGGGCGUUUAGUAUUUGGUCGUAGACCCGAAACCAGGUGAUCUACCCUUGGUCAGGUUGAAGUUCAGGUAACACUGAAUGGAGGACCGAACCGACUUACGUUGAAAAGUGAGCGGAUGAACUGAGGGUAGCGGAGAAAUUCCAAUCGAACCUGGAGAUAGCUGGUUCUCUCCGAAAUAGCUUUAGGGCUAGCCUCAAGUGAUGAUUAUUGGAGGUAGAGCACUGUUUGGACGAGGGGCCCCUCUCGGGUUACCGAAUUCAGACAAACUCCGAAUGCCAAUU
rnacentral:rRNA from 1 species